rnacentral:lncRNA from 1 species
AUUACAAUAAUUGCUAAUCUCUGAAUAAGACAGCCAUGUUUUGUGAGUAACUGAGGGAGAGAGGUUGUGUUAGGUAGAUGUUAGGUGUUUCAACAAAUAAAGCAUUAUAAAUGCUUACUUGGAUUAUGUUUUCAUGAUAGCUUUUGAUAAAAGACAUAUGGUGACCUUUGGGGUCAGCAAAGCUAGGACACAAUAGCAGGUAUUCUUUCAUGCCUUUUAACUGAAAAAUAUCACGGCUUGUUGUUUUGGAGUGCUGUCACUGCUCUGAAUCGAAAGGAUAAUGGCUACUUCCUGAUUAAACCCACUCUCCACAAUAUGGAGUCUGGAGAAAGGUUACCAUCCUCAACAACCUCCUCUACUACACCAACUUCAUCUUCUAUACCUUCUGUGGCUUCAUCAGUUUCAAAAGGCGGCCUUUCCACUGGAGCUGCUUCACUUAGCUCUACAAUCAACCCAUGUGG